GUUGUAUGGUUAAGUGACUAAGCGUACACGGUGGAUGCCUUGGCAGUCAGAGGCGAUGAAGGACGUAUUAACUUGCGAUAAGCCCAGAUUAGGCAGUAAAAGCCACUUGAGUCUGGGAUUUCCGAAUGGGGAAACCCACUUGCAUAAGCAAGUAUCAUUAACUGAAUACAUAGGUUAAUGAAGCGAACCGGGGGAACUGAAACAUCUAAGUACCCCGAGGAAGAGAAAUCAA
rnacentral:rRNA from 1 species